rnacentral:sRNA from 12 species
AUAGGCAAGUUGGUAUUUCCAUAUAUGAACUUAAAAAUAGUAUUG